rnacentral:misc_RNA from 1 species
AUAUGUUUCGUCAGUUCAUCUAAACUGCUGAUUCCUCCUUCCUCCACACGUCCUGCCUUCCAUGUUGCAAUGCUUAAGAAGAAAGUAGGAGACCAUAUCACCCCCUAUUUUGAAGCUUCCAGCUAUGCAGGAAUAGAUCAUUUUGGUAGCACCAGAAAAGGUACUCCAAACCAGGACUGUCAAUAGGGACAAGCAUCAUGUUCUCCACGGUCUUAUUAAAUGGAUCAAUUUACCAGAAGAAGAUACCACUUGAAUACAAGAAAGUUCUAAUGGGGCAGGUAUUAUUACAUAUGAGAGGAGGUAUAGAACUA